CCUACGGGUGGCAGCAGUGGGGAAUAUUGCACAAUGGGGGAAACCCUGAUGCAGCAACGCCGCGUGAGCGAUGAAGGCCUUCGGGUCGUAAAGCUCUGUCCUAAGGGAAGAAUAAUGACGGUACCUUAGGAGGAAGCCCCGGCUAACUACGUGCCAGCAGCCGCGGUAAUACGUAGGGGGCAAGCGUUAUCCGGAAUCACUGGGCGUAAAGGGUGCGUAGGCGGCCGAUAAAGUCUGGGGUGAAAGGCUACGGCUUAACCGUAGUAAGCCUUGGAAACUUAUUGGCUUGAGUGCAGGAGAGGUAAGUGGAAUUCCUAGUGUAGCGGUGAAAUGCGUAGAUAUUAGGAGGAACACCAGUGGCGAAGGCGACUUACUGGACUGUAACUGACGCUGAGGCACGAAAGCGUGGGGAGCGAACAGGAUUAGAUACCCCAGUAGUC
rnacentral:rRNA from 1 species